UCUUCUGCUCGCAGCCUUCAGAUGAAGAUGUAAAACUCUCAGCUCCUCCUGCACCAUGCCUGCCUGGAUGCUGCCGUGUUCCUGCCUUGAUGAUAAUGGACUGACCCUCUGAACCUGCUUGGACACUUCCUGGUUAUAAUGGGAACCAUCCUGGCCACUGGGACUGUGAGCCGGCAGGAGCAGGAGGCUUCCCGGGACCAGCUCAGCACUCCUGGGGUCCUAAUUCAAUCUUCCAGGCCGUUCUCGCCUAUUCUGCAGGGGCUGCUGUAAACUCUAGCCUGAAUCCGCAAGGCAUUGGAAUUUUUGGAUACAUUUUUCACAUUAAGAAGUUAAAUCUUCAGGCAAAUUAAAUUUGGAAAUAAUUUCA